AUUGAACGCUGGCGGCAGGCCUAACACAUGCAAGUCGAGCGAGCGUCGGACGGGUGAGUAAUGUAUGGGGACUGCCCGAUAGAGGGGGAUAACUACUGGAAACGGUAGCUAAUACCGCAUACUAUCGGAUAACCCAUAUGGGAUUAGCUAGUAGGGUAGUUAAUGGCUCACAUAGGAGACGAUCCCUAGCUGGUCUUAGAGGAUGAUCAGCCACACGGGGACUGAGACACGGCCCAGACUCCUACGGAGGCAGCAGUGGGGAAGAUUGCACAAUGGGCGCAAGCCUGAUGCAGCCAUGCCGCGUGUAUGAAGAAGGCCCUAGGGUUGUAAAGUACUUUCAGUCGGGAGGCGUUACCGACAGAAGAAGCACCGGCUAACUCCGUGCCAGCAGCCGCGGUAAUAC
rnacentral:rRNA from 1 species